ensembl:miRNA eca-mir-9072 eca-mir-9072
UUUGGACCAGCCGCGGCACGCUUGGCGGGGAGGGUGGUGCUUACUAAAAUGCAGAUUACUGGGCGCUACCCCCCAGGUAAAGCCUGGAAAUCUGCAGCUUAGCCAGUUCCACGGAUGAUUCCCGUCAGGUGGCCCCAGG